GACGAACGCUGGCGGCGUGCCUAAUACAUGCAAGUUGAGCGCUGAAGGUUGGUACUUGUCCCGACUGGAUGAGCAGCGAACGGGUGAGUAACGCGUGGGGAAUCUGCCUUUUAGCGGGGGACAACAUUUGGAAACGAAUGCUAAUACCGCAUAAAAACUUUAAACACAAGUUUUAAGUUUGAAAGAUGCAAUUGCAUCACUCAAAGAUGAUCCCGCGUUGUAUUAGCUAGUUGGUGAGGUAAAGGCUCACCAAGGCGAUGAUACAUAGCCGACCUGAGAGGGGGUUCGGCCACAUUGGGACUGAGACACGGCCCAAACUCCUACGGGAGGCAGCAGUAGGGAAUCUUCGGAAAUGGACGAAAGUCUGACCGAGAAACGCCGCGUGAGUGAAGAAGGUUUUCGGAUCGUAAAACUCGGUUGGUAGAGAAGAACGUUGGUGAGAGUGGAAAGCUCAUCAAGUGACGGUAACUACCCAGAAAGGGACGGCUAACUACGUG
rnacentral:rRNA from 1 species